AUGCCAGACAAGCUCACACAUGCCCCUUUUCUUGCAGCCACAACAACAGCCCCAUCUGUCUAUCCACUGGCUCCUGGAUGUGAAAGCACUACCGACUCCACGGUGACCCUGGGAUGUCUGGUCAAGGGCUAUUUCCCCGAGCCGGCAACCGUAACCUGGAACUCUGGAUCCCUGACCAGCGGUGUGCAUAUCUUCCCAUCUGUCCUGCAUUCUGGUCUCUACUCCCUCAGCAGCUCAGUGACUGUGUCCUCCAGCACCUGGCCCAGCCAGUCCGUCGUCUGCACCGUAGCCCACCCGGCCAGCAAAACCAAGGUGGACAGGAAAAUUGCUCCUGAUCUCUCGGGUGGACCAUCCGUCUUCAUCUUCCCCCCAAAGCCCAAGGAUGUGCUCAUGGUCUCCCUGGCCCCCAAGAUCACAUGUGUGGUGAUAGACGUGAGCGAGGAAGACCCAAAUGUCCAGUUCAGCUGGUUUGUGAAUGAUAAAGAAGUGCACACAGCUCAGACGCAGACCCACGAGGAGCAGUACAACAGUACCUUGCGUAUGGUCAGUGUCCUCCCCAUCCAGCACCAGGACUGGAUGAGUGGCAAGAAGUUCAAAUGCAAGGUCAACAACCAAGCCCUCCCAAGCCCCAUUGAGAGAACCAUCUCAAAACCCAAAGGGCAAGUCCGAAUGCCACAGGUAUACACAUUUGCUCCUCCUGCGGAACAGAUGACCAAAACAGAGGUCAGCUUGACCUGCUUGGUCACAGGCUUCCUCCCUGAGGACAUCCAUGUGGAGUGGGAGAGCAGCGGGAAACAAGAGCAGAACUACAAGAACACGCUGCCUGUCGCGGACACCGACGGGUCUUACUUCAUGUACAGCAAGGUCAACGUGCCAAAGAGCAGGUGGGAUCGAGGAGAUAGCUUCACCUGCUCCGUGUUACACGAGUCUCUGCACAACCACCUCACACAGAAGACCAUCUCCCGAUCUCGGGAGCUAGAACUGGACGACAGCUGUGCUGAGGCCCAGGACGGGGAGCUGGACGGGCUCUGGACGACCAUCACCAUCUUCAUCACCCUCUUCCUGCUCAGCGUGUGCUACAGCGCCACUGUCACACUCUACAAGGUGAAGUGGAUCUUCUCCUCCGUGGUGGAGCUGAAGCAGACACUGGCCCCUGACUACAGGAACAUGAUUGGGCAGGGGGCCUAG